rnacentral:rRNA from 1 species
UACGUAGGAUGCAAGCGUUGUCCGGAUUUAUUGGGCGUAAAGAGAACGUAGGUGGUUUCUUAAGUUUUGGUCUUAAAGACCGGGGCUCAACCCCGGGAAUGGAUCGAAUACUGGGAGACUAGAGGAUGUUAGAGGAAGUGGAAUUCCAAGUGUAGGCGGUGAAAUGCGUAGAUAUUUGGAAGGAACACCAGUGGCGAAAGCGGCGUUCUGGGACAUUCCUGGACACUGAGGUUCGAAAGCUCGGAGAGCAAACAGG